rnacentral:ncRNA from 1 species
AAAGAUUGAUCCUGUCUUCUUUAAUUGGUUAUUAGAUAAUAUUAAAUAUAAGUUUUUGCGGGUUGUUGACAUUUACCUAAAGGGUAAGUUUAUUAGUUAUUAUUUGUAGUUUUUAAUUUUGAGUUUUACGUCAUUGUAGAUUCAGUUAAUUUAUGGAGAGCUGUUUAAGGUUGUGCCAGCAUACGCGGUUAUACAUCCAGCUCGAAUUAAUUUUUUUGGUUUUUAUUUAUUUAUAUUUUAUGGAGUUUGAGUUUAUUUUAUAAGGUGAAAUUUUUAAUUUAAAUUAUAUUCUCUGGGUUUAAGAUAAUAAGAAAUUUAGUGUUAUAAACUAGGAUUAGAUACCCUAUUAUUCUAAAUGUAAAAAUAUAACCAUAGUAUUAAUAGUUAUGAUCUUUAAAUUAAAAGGAUUUGGCGGUAAUUUAGUCUUUUCAGAGGAACCUGUUCUGUAAUCGAUAAUCCACGUUGGAUUUAACUUUAAUUUUUAGUUUGUAUAUCUCUGUCAUUGAAUGUUUUAUUAGAAUAUUUUCUUAAAUUAUUAAUUUAAUUAAUGUCAGGUCAAGGUGCAGCUAUAUUAAAGGUUGAAAUGGGUUACAUUUAAUGUUUAUUUAUUGGAAUAUUUAUAUUGUAAAUUUAAUUUUAUAUAAAAAAGGAUUUGAAAGUAAUUUUUACUACUUUGUAAGGAUGAUUUUAGCUCUAGAUUAUGUACACAUCGCCCGUCGUUCUC